rnacentral:lncRNA from 1 species
UUUUUUUUUUUUUUUUCUAGGCAGAGAAAUUUUAAUUGCGUAUACAGGAGGGCAUAUUGCUAAUAGCUGGAAACUGGAGCACUGCACUACUGGCAAUUCCCUUAAGUGCAGGAAUGGGAGCCUGAUCCACCUGGUUUAUGUAUAUUUAGUAAAACCUAGUACACUGCAGUGUAUUGUGCCUUGAGACAUUUUGCACUUUAAGUUUCUACAUAUACUGUUCGAUAUGAUUUUUUUCAGUAUUAUAUUUUUUUCCUUUAAACCAGGAGUCUGUGUAAGAAAAUGCAAUGUGUUUUGGAGGUCAGACUGGUAAAUAAUCACAGACCUGAGUGUGAAACCUAUUUUAAUUGUUUUGGGUGUUUGUAUCUUGGAAGCACAGGUUGCUGACUGCAAAUUUUUAGUGAACAAAUCCAGCAGUGUAUAUGUUGUGCUGCAAAGGAGAUAUUUCAUUAAGCUGAUUGCUGUCAAGUGGAACUGAUGGAAAAACCAAAAGAAAAAGGAAAGAAAAUGGAAAUAGGAAUAUGCCAAUUCUUAAAAUGCAAAAUCUCCACCUAAGAGAGAAAACAGUAAUUUGAGGUGAAAGCCUGCGUUCAGUCCUCUGAUGAAAUACAUUCACCAGCUGGAGUGAAAAAAGCAACCUACACCACAUGGGAAAAUGUGUGUGUAGGGAUGGGCAGCAGCCAGCUCAAACUGGAUGCCAUUUGGUAUAGAAAAUGAAUGAGGUGGAGAUACAGAUCCAAAAAUUUAGAGCAGGAAGGGUUAAGAAAAACAAAAAAGAUAUUUGUUUUCAAGUAAAAACAUAUCCUAGCAACAUCACUGGCCUCAUAUUAGGUGGAGAUAGUGAAGCCGAUGCAGCCAUGAGGAAGGGAGGUGUAUCCAGAAGAUACUUUCUGCAUUUGGAAAGCCACUCUCUUCUCACACAGGCUUGGCUGUUACCUCCUGGUCCAUCCAGCUAGGAAACAUUAGGCAUCAUCUGCUAAAGGAAAAAUCAGAUUUAAUUAUUCUCACCACUAAGCAUCUCGGAGGAAGUGGCCAAGGAAAUCUCUGGCCCAUGAGAAAUCAUUUUUGGGUAGCUUGAACACAGGAAAGUCCAGGACUACAAGGAAGCUGCUGCUACAUCAGUAUUAGAAUCAGGCCAGCCAUUCCUGCUCGUGGGACUUUUUGUCAUCCAAGAGGGGAAGAGUGAAUCCAAUGAAGAUAAAAUACAUGGACAGGACUAUAAUUAAUGCAAAUCAAUUCAAAAAUGAAUUUUCUAGAUAAGGCCUAGAUUUACAAAGCUGGUAAUCUCCUAGGUGGGAUCUGACUGGAGAGGAGGCGGACAGGAGAAAGUUUGCUUUUGAUAAAUACCUGUGAUGGGAGGUUCAUGCAUGGAGGGGUUUGGGAGGGCUGGCAGGAGCUCAGCAGAGACUGGCACAGCCAAAUUGAAAAAGCUGAGCUGAAUGGAAAGCUGCAAGGGGACGUGACUGCAGGUCUGUACAACGUGGUGAGAAGGGCCAUAGCACAGGAGAGACACAUUCAGGCUGGAGAGGAGGCACUGGGGUUGGAUGGAGAGCUUUAGGAGAACGGCCAAGGGAGCAAAUCAGCAAAUCACUUUGUCAUUUCCUUGUGGUUUCAAACCAACUGGAGUUGCCUUUCAGGUAACUGCUUUGGUCAGAUAAUUAUGGGGUCAGCCUGGGGAUACUGGGUGAGAUGUUGACAGAAGGAAGAUCAGGUUUAGAUCUGGUCUGAGGUUUCUUCCUGGCCUUUAACUCUGGAGUGAUGAAAAUCAUUCUGAAGAAAGACUGAUAGAGACAGUGCAUGAGAGGAAAGGAAAAGCUGGAAGUUUUCUUCUGCCCAUUGUUUUUGUAAUUUGAAUUCACUUAUUUCUUAUCUCAGGCUUGGUGAGGGUUGUGCACGUCCACACCAGCAAUCAUCCUGCCCAGCAACAAGUCAAAACAGAAAGCUGAAAAUUUUUCUGAAUUCAUUUUUGUGGGUUUUUAAUUUUUAAAAUUUUGAAAUCUUUAUAUUUUCUUCUCAGUUUGCAAUUGCUAUUUGCAAUGAAUUCUCCCUCUCCUGCCCUUUUGAAGUGACCUGCUGGCCUCUUCUCCAGGCUGCAAGGGGGACAGCAGGACUGGAGCAGCUGUGACUUCUUCAGCUCAGGGAACGUGGUGGCAAAGAAUGUGGCUGUUUUUUGCAGUAGAAUGUGAGCUCCAGUCCAGUGGGUUUUAAAAAGUAUUAUCAGAAGUGAAAGGCUACAUUUAAAAAUGUAUAAGCAGGAACUUUCUGCACUGCAUGCCUUCAUUCAUAAUUCACCAGUACUCGUUUCUAAAGAAGAUUUGAUAGUUUUACAAGGUAAAUGUACUUUAAAACCUUUCUUUACUUUGCAGCGAAUGUGCAAUUAAGUGAACUUACUGAAAAGGAGAGAGAAGCAAGGUUUGUCCUGAUAGCCAUGAAAUAAUUUUAAUAUUCAUGUAAUUCAACUUUGAUUGGGAAAUGUUGCUGCAUUCCUGUUCAUAGUAAUGCCAUGUUUGGGGCUGGUGAAACAUCUUUUCUGACAAGAUCUCUGAAUUUCUGGCUGGUGACUAUUAUUACCUGCAUCUUUAUGCCCAAAGAUCCGUGGUGGAGGGGAUGCAAUUUUCAACUCACAUCUCCCUGACGUGCCCAAGCCCCACAUUUCUGACACCAGUUCAGCAGACUGAUGUGGCCUGGAGUUGCACCAGCAUGUCCCAACAGCCAGACCAGCUCCCAGGACCUGUUGAUACCUGUGGUGCUUGCACAGAGCUGAGCCGGGGGAAGGACUGAGAUGUUUACUCUGACAAGAGAUCCCCACUGUUCAGUCCCCACAGUAAUUAUGGGGGACAAAGCACUUCCCAAGCACCUUCCCUGCACCUUUUCUGCAGGCACAGUGUGAGGUGCAGCCAUUAAUCAGACAAGCUGCUGGAGAUAACUGCUAAUUAAGAGCAGCUUGGCUCCCUGAAGUUCCCUCCCUCCCUCUGUCCAUACUGAAAGACAAUUUGUUCUUUGUGCUGGUGUUCAGGAGCAGGUUGUGGUUGGACUCCUCUGCUGAGCAGGGGUUUGGAGGAGGGACAGUGUUUAUAUAAAAUACAGCCCAUGUGUGUGUGCUGAGUGCCCCUGUCCACAGCCACACCACAGAGUCCUGGGCAUCCCUAUUCCAGUUCUGCAGGAAGAGGGAAGAGGGUGUGGCUGGUAGCAGCAAUUCGAGAACUUCCAUGGACAUCUGACUUUGAAUGUCCAAAUGGGUGGCCACCAGCAUAAAAAGUGUUUGCAGCUGGUGUUGGAAAGCUCAGCAAGGCUGUGUUGCAAAGUCCAUUACAUCAAUGUAAGGAGGAUAUGUUUUUUGCACUAAUAAUCCUCUUAAAGCCAGAAAGCCACUGGUGGGGAAAGUGCUGCUCAGCAGCACAGCUCCAGAGCAGGACCUGCUGAGUCAACACAAAGAAAUGAAGAAAAAACUGUAAUCACAAGUCUGCCUGGAUAAAUUAGGUGGAAAAUUCAUGGAAAACACUGAAGUUCCAGCACAGUGAAACCAGCAUUAAAGGAAUCAGCCAAGCUCUAUGUCCCAGAUGUGCUAUGCCAUACUCAGCAAUCUCCAGACAAGGUCACUUAUACCUCAAACACCUUGGAACAGCACCUGCUGCUUUAUUUUCUAGCCAAACCCAGCAUUUUCACCCUUAUUCUCAUCUUCUGCUGAUGGAUCCAGUAUCCCCUAUCGUGUUCAGAUAAAAAGGCUGCUAUUAAAAACCCCAUUAAGUCAGGAUUAGCUACAAGAGACUUCUGGUGUGCCACAGCCCUGUUAGGCACUCUUGCCUUCUCUUUGGUGGCUGACAAGAGGCAUCAGCAGUGUGGGCCCCUCCAGAGGUGCAGGGUGGGACAGUGACAGUCCCUUCUUGCCUCUGCAAGGGCGUGGGCAACUACCACUGGCUGGACCCAAGACAAACUCUUUGUUCCUGCUUUUGUUUUAGGUUUUUAGGUUUUUGUCCCUAGCUCAAUAUUAUUAUUCAAAGGGAAGUCUUUCCAGGGAAAAUGUAGGGGAAAAGUCUCUGUCCCUAACAAGGCCAUGUGGGGACAGUCUCUGUCUAAGUUUGUUCCCAUGUAACACUGGACUGGGUCUGGCUUUUUUUCCUUCACUGCUCUGUUUCUUCAUCCUAGGACCUAGGGAUGAAAGCCUGCCUCUUUGCCUCAAAGGAUCAAAUCAUUAGGCCUGUUUUCCAGCUUGAUUGAUGUUUAUAUCUAUUAAUUGUUUUCCCUCUAAUUUUCUGAUUUCCUACUGAUAUCACAGAAAACCCUGAAGAAAACAAUCUUUGAUGGAGAAUAACAUAUUUCAGAAGACAACUUCCCACCUCCAGUGUUUGUGGGUAAUUAGAAGAUAGAAUAUAAAUGGCUUGUGAAGCUGCUUAAUAACAUAUUUUUCUUACCUUUACCUAAAAUAGUCCAUUCCCCUGUGCAGUUUGGACAUCCCAGGAUCUUGUCCAUGCCAAAGGCAAAGGUCACUCCCUCUCUCCUGUUGUCCAUGCUCUGCCAGCAGUGACUUUAGGCAAUGUGGUAUUUUUAGCAUCUGCUGUGAGGUAACUCCUGGUGUUUACCUGCUGCUCUAUCUUCCACGUGCAUCAGCGAGUGGGACCAGGCUAACCCACCCCCUUCCCAAGGGAGACAGGUCCUGCCAGGUUCCAGGGCUGGACAAACGGAGGUGAAAAAACCCAGUGACACCAUGAGAUCACAGGAGCAGGAGAGAUGAACUCUGGAAAUGGAGAUUUUCCUGCCCGGUAACCCUUGGCUCCAGAUGAAGAGAUGCAUUCAUGAUAGGAUGUGACCUUAUCUAAGUAAGGUUAAGAUUUUCAACUUUGAACAAAGACAAAGCUGGGAUUUCAAUGGAAAAAUCUUUUGAGUCAUAGUACAUAGCAAAUUCAUAUUCAAGACAGAUGGUAUUUUCUAAAAGUAGCUGUUUACUCCUAGAAUUACUCUUCUUCCUUCCUGUGGCAUUUUUUCCCUCAUUCUGUGGUUCUUCUGCCCACAAACUUGUCUUUUUCAGUAAAUUUCUAGUGACAAUUUUAACGAUCUCUUAAAAAAACCCAGCUAUAAAAAAACCUCUCUCCUUGUCUAUGUCUUCUUACCUUCAUGACCCUCUGGGGUAAUAUCCUGCCCUAAUUACGGAUAAAAGUACAAUAUUUAGCUAUUUUGGAAAAUGUCUUUUGUCUUCAUACACAAGGUCUAAUUAGAAGUUUAGUCCAUCUUGCUUUUCGUCCAGCUAAAUGCCACACUCUAUUUGUGCUGCUGCCGUUGGUCCCAGCUAAUUAAGGAAAUCAAGAAUAGAUUGCAAAAAAAAAAAAAAAAAAAAA